rnacentral:tRNA from 2 species
AAGUAAGAAGUAAAAAUUACAUUUAGUUUCGACCUAAAAAUUUGGUGAACGUUCACCCUUACUUA